rnacentral:rRNA from 1 species
AUUGCACAAUGGGCGCAAGCCUGAUGCAGCCAUGCCGCGUGUAUGAAGAAGGCCUUCGGGUUGUAAAGUACUUUCAGCGGGGAGGAAGGUGUUGUGGUUAAUAACCGCAGCAAUUGACGUUACCCGCAGAAGAAGCACCGGCUAACUCCGUGCCAGCAGCCGCGGUAAUACGGAGGGUGCAAGCGUUAAUCGGAAUUACUGGGCGUAAAGCGCACGCAGGCGGUCU